rnacentral:rRNA from 1 species
AUUGAACGCUGGCGGCAUGCUUUACACAUGCAAGUCGAACGGUAACAGGUUAAGCUGACGAGUGGCGAACGGGUGAGUAAUGCAUCGGAACGUGCCCGAUCGUGGGGGAUAACGCAGCGAAAGCUGCGCUAAUACCGCAUACGAUCUGAGGAUGAAAGCGGGGGACCGUAAGGCCUCGCGCGAUCGGCGACGCCGAUGUCAGAUUAGGUAGUUGGUGGGGUAAAGGCCAACAAAGCCGACGAGCUGUAGCUGGUCUGAGAGGUCGACCAGCCAAACUGGGACUGGGACACGGCCCAGAUUCCUACGGGAGGAAGCAGUGGGGAAUUUUGGACAAUGGCGAAAGCCUGAUCCAGCAAUGCCGCGUGCAGGAAGAAGGCCUUCGGGUUGUAAACUGCUUUUGUACGGAGCGAAAAGGUCCUUUCUAAUACAAGGGGCUAAUGACGGUACCGUAAGAAUAAGCACCGGCUAACUCCGUGCCAGCCGCCGCCGUAA